UUACCAUGCAAGUCGCACGAACCUUUCGGGGUUAGUGGCGGACGGGUGAAGUAACGCGUAGGAACCUAUCUGGAGGUGGGGGAUAACAUCGGGAAACUGGUGCUAAUACCGCAUGAUGCCUGAGGGCCAAAGGAGAGAUCCGCCAUUGGAGGGGCCUGCGUUCGAUUAGCUAGUUGGUUGGGUAAAGGCUGACCAAGGCGAUGAUCGAUAGCUGGUUUGAGAGGAUGAUCAGCCACACUGGGACUGAGACACGGCCCAGACUCCUACGGG
rnacentral:rRNA from 1 species